rnacentral:lncRNA from 1 species
GUAAUUGUGUUGUUUUCUCUUGUAAUUUCAACUAGAGAGAAGGUCUUCCCAAUGUGACCAUAUAUACAGAUCUCCUGAAAAGAAACUUACAAAAGGAAUCUGGGGAUGGGGAGCAGAGGCAACGCUCCAGAUUACUCUUUCACUGAAAAGCAGCAUCAUAAUGAUGAGCUACUGCCUAUCAGAGUCCCAGAGCCCUGCUACUGUACCUUGUAAAUCAGCUCCCCAGAAGCCUUCCAGCUUUGGCACACACAGCCACUGUCUUCAUUGGAUGGCCAGGACAACAGGAUCAACAGCAACCAGGUGGAUUUGACAGCUGACAGCAUUUACAGCAGAUUCCAGGGCAAGUGCCAAAGGGUGUGAUGUCUGAGGUUCAUCUGGUAUGCUCCUGCAUUCUUCCAUUUUUUAGCCACAAAGUAAGUGAUGACUUUAAUAUUUGUCUUUAUAAAGUGGGUAGGAGUUAUAUUGGCUAUACUGUUACUUGGCAGCCUUAAUGGCAGUGUGCUCAUGAUUAAUAAGGAAUAACUAUCUUGCAAUUCAGCCAUAGAAUGAAAUGGGACAUUUCAGUAGCACUAACCAAAGAAAAUGUUGGCAGUG